UGGAAUAUUUUGAAAUAGUCUUACUUGGUUAUUAUUGUUAUUUUCAACCGUACGUAUUGACCGAAUUUGAUGCUAGACUUAAGGAGUUAUGAUUUUGAAUGGAAUUUCAGCUUAUUAGUCUAUUAUUCCCAAAGAGCUUAACUAUGGUUGUGUGGUAAUAACGUGACUUAGGUUAGCUAAGGGCCUAUAAAUAGAGAACUUUAGCUCACUUCUUCAUUUCACUAGAAGCCAAAUAGCUAUCCAUCAUACUCUCUCUUGCCUCCCUUCUAUUUAUUUUUCUAUACUAAAUCUUUUAUAGCUAAUCACUUGUUUUCUCAACCAUACACACCAUCAUAAUAACUAUAAGCUCUAAACAUCGACAUCCUCUCUUAACCAUCACCAUCAUCCUUCCAUAAAUAUAUAUAUACAUCUUCUUCAUCAUUUUGAUAUCACCAUCAUCAUUUUCACAUUCAAGAUUUCUUGCUCUGCUAGUUUUUCUUUGGAAACUAAGGUUUGACAUAAGAAAAUUAUUAUUUCUCAAGGAUUACUCUUAUUCCAAUCAAGGCUAGGACUCCACAUUCGAGACCAAGGUAACUGAAAGUUUAGAAAGCCGGUGGCGAGUGGAACUUUGGAUGCUUGUGUGUGUGAACUCGCUGAGGGCCAUAUAACUGCGGGCGGUCUAGGGCGCUCUGUUUAUUUAUUUAUGUUAUUAAACUUAUGUCGCAAUUAUUUUAGUUAUUAAUUAUUAUGUUUUUUUUUUACGAAAACUGGCCAGUUGUGAACAUUUUCAAGUAUUAAAUAAAAAUGCGACAUUACGAUUUUUCCGCGUUUAACGCUUGUAAAUAAAAUUAAUAUUUUUAUAAAAGUACGGGCGUUACAGUUUGGUAUCAGAGCUACAGUUAUAUCGGUCCAGAACGUUCUCACGAGUUACACACAUCGGCUAAAAAGUCUUCGCUUGCUACCAUGUAAGUCUCAUAUUAUAUGUUUGCAUUAUUAUUUGUACUUGUGUAAUUUUAAAAUUGCAUUUACUACAGAGACCUUAGUACCAAUAACCAAAUUUAAGUACUACCCAUGCAUAUGAAAUCAAAUAUUUU